rnacentral:tRNA from 1 species
AAAAAGGUAAGCUAAUUCAAGCUACUGGGCUCAUACCCCAUUUAUGGAAAAUAAAAUAUCCCCUUUUUA